rnacentral:rRNA from 1 species
GACGAACGCUUGCGGCGUGCCUAAGAAAUGCAAGUCGAGCGAGGUUAAGUAGCUUGCUAUUUAACCUAGCGGCGAACGGUCGAGUAACACGUAGGCAACCUGCCCUGAAGCGGGGGAUAGCCCACCGAAAGGUGGAUUAAUACCGCAUGUGGUCAUGACUUGGCAUCUUGUUAUGACUAAAGCAGCGAUGCACUUCAGGAUGGGCUUGCGGCCUAUCAGCUAGUUGGUGAGGUAACGGCCCACCAAGGCGACGACGGGUAGCUGGUCUGAGAGGAUGGUCAGCCGGACUGGGACUGAGACACGGCCCAGACUCCUACGGGAGGCUG